rnacentral:rRNA from 1 species
GACGAACGCUGGCGGCGUGCCUAAUACAUGCAAGUAGAACGCUGAAGGAGGAGCUUGCUUCUCCGGAUGAGUUGCGAACGGGUGAGUAACGCGUAGGUAACCUGCCUGGUAGCGGGGGAUAACUAUUGGAAACGAUAGCUAAUACCGCAUAAGAGUAGAUGUUGCAUGACAUUUGCUUAAAAGGUGCAAUUGCAUCACUACCAGAUGGACCUGCGUUGUAUUAGCUAGUUGGUGGGGUAACGGCUCACCAAGGCGACGAUACAUAGCCGACCUGAGAGGGUGAUCGGCCACACUGGGACUGAGACACGGCCCAGACUCCUACGGGAGGCAGCAGUAGGGAAUCUUCGGCAAUGGACGGAAGUCUGACCGAGCAACGCCGCGUGAGUGAAGAAGGUUUUCGGAUCGUAAAGCUCUGUUGUAAGAGAAGAACGAGUGUGAGAGUGGAAAGUUCACACUGUGACGGUAUCUUACCAGAAAGGGACGCCUAACUACGUG